GAAGAGACAGGAACACAGGUUGAAGCAACUGAUGGGGCCUGAAUUAGGACUCUUUCAACCUGUGCUCACCAACAGGUGUCAGCCUCACUCUCCCCAGCUGCAGGCCAACUUCCUCCAGGUAGCCCAGUAGGUCUGGGGUGGCUGGAAGGCCUUAGUCAUCGCCCCUGGCAUGUCACACCCCAGCUGGGAUUUUGCCCUGAGGGCACUGGGAAGCCACUGAAAAAUUUUCUUCAGGGGAGUGGCAUGAGAAGCCUGCAGUUUUGAAAGACCAUUGUGUACAAUGGUUAGACAUAGGGAGGGAGAAAGGAGGCUCCAGGAAGAAUCGGAAUGAGAACUGAUGAGGACCUGAACUGCAGCAGGAGGAGAGAGAGUGGCGAGGACGUCUCACGUGUGAGGACGUCUCACGUGCUGUCAUGUCAUUUAUUGGCACCACCUUCAACACAACUACUCAAGCCCAGUUGCUGAGCAUCAUCUGGAAUCCUUUCACCUUCCCAUGCACAAUCCUUGAGAUCCGGAGAUGCUACCUCCAAAAGGCAACCAAAAAAUCUAACGACGACUCACUAUCUUCCCAUCUACUGUCCAGUUGUGUAUAUAUGCGUCUAUGGACCAGGUAGUGUGUCAAAGGUAUUUCUUAGCUGUAGGGUUGCAGCAAAAAAGUUUGGAAGCUAUUCAUUGCCCAUUAGGCAAUUAAAGAGUAAAGAUGUGGCCCCUGCCUACAUCUUUAAUCUCAUCUUCUGUCAUCUCCCCCUCUUUGCUCCUUUAGUCCCUGGAAAGUGGUAAGCUCUUUCCUGCCUUGGGGCCUUAGUAUUUGCUGUUAACUCUACCUGGAACAUUCUCCUUAUCUUUCCCAUGGCUGAUUCACUGCCAUCCUUCAAGUCUCAGUUUAAUGUCAUAUCCUCAGAGAGGCCCCCCAUCCAUAUUAUGUAAACCAUGUCUUCUUCCCAUCACUACACGCUAUGGUCUGAAAGUUUGCAUCUCCCCAAAAUUCAUAUAUUGAAACCUAAUCCCCAAUGCAAUAGGAUUAAGAGGCGGGACCUUUAGGAAAUAAUUAGGUCUUGAGGGUAAAGCCCUCAUGAAUGGGAUUAGUGCUUUUAUAUAAUAAAAGAGGCCUGAAGAAGCUUAUUAGCCCCUUCUGCCAUGUGAAGACUCAUAGAAAGUGCCAUCUAUGAGGAAGCAGGCCCUCACCAGACAUCAAUGCUGCUGCCUUGAUCUUGGGCUUCCCAGCCUCCAGAACUGUGAACAAUGAAUUUCUGUUGUUUAUAAGUUACCUAUCUAAGGUAUUUUGUUAUAACAGUCCAAAUGGACUAAGCCCUAAAGGACUUUUUCUAAUGAAUAGCUACAGGUUGAUUUACGAUCAGUUUUUUUAUGAGACUGUAAGCCUUCUGAGGUCAGUAAUGGUGUGUGUAUGUGACUGUACCCUGCAUCUGCAUCCUACUUUUACCUAACAAAAAGAGCCUCACAGAAAGCUUUGGCAAUUAAUGACAGCCUGUAGAGUUCUGUAUUCAUAGAAGCAGUAGGGGUACAUGCUGCAGUGGGUAGAAUUGUGUUCCCCAAAAAGAGAUGCUCAAGCCCUAACCCUGGUAUCUACGAAUGUGAUCUUAUUUGGAAAUAGGGUCUUUGCAGAUAUAAUUAGUUAAGAUCAGGUCAUACUAGAGUAGGAUGGGCCCUUAAUCCAAUAUGACUGGUGUCAUUAUAAGAAGAGGAAGAGAUACACAAGGGCACACACCAGGAGAAUGUCAUGUGACAAUGGAAGCAGAGAUUGGAGAGCUGUGUCUAUAAGCCAAGUAACAUCAAGGAUUGCUGGCAACACCAAAAGCUAAGAGAAAGGCGUGGAACGGACUCCCACCUUGAGCCUUCAGAGACAGCGUGGACCUACUGACACCUUGACUUCAGACUUCUAGCCAGAACUUUGAGAGAAUAAAUUUCUGUUUUUUAAGACCC
rnacentral:lncRNA from 1 species